rnacentral:lncRNA from 1 species
GGUACUCUAGUCAACACCUUGCUAAUCUACUGAAAUUGCUGUGGUGGUAAUUUCCAGUGACUUCGAAAGCGCCAAGUCCAAUAAACUUCGUCAGUUUCCACUUCCCACCUUAUUUGACUUAACUGGGGCACUGGAGAUGUUUAAUACCAUGGCUUCUGAGAGGUAUCUCAUGGCUCUUCUCCUCUCUGAUUUGUCCUUCUUUCUCUACUUUACUGGCUUCUAUUCUUUUACGUGUACCUUGAAUGUUGUGUUUUCCUUGGAGGUUGUUCUUGGCUUCCUUCUCUGUUUGUUCUCCAUUCUCUCUCUGGGCAUCUACUUCCCUGUUUUCACCAUGACUCAAUUCUCUACCCAACUCUCCCCUGAGUUCUGAUUAUUGUGUCAAAACUACUCACAGAAUGCUGGUUCCUGGUAUUCCACAGACUGUAAUGCAAUUGAAGGAUUGAAGGUAGGGACUGAACCUCAUGCAUCUGUGAGUUCACAGCAUCUACAAAGCUUGGUGUGCAGUUGUAGGGAUGUAUAUGUGAACUCUUGGUUAGCGGAGUGCAAAAACACUGAAUUUAAAUUUAAAAGAUGAAGCUUAGGUGUUGACUCCAUCAUUUAUCAGCUGUGUGACUUUGGUGAUGACAGAUCAUGUGACAGAUUAGACCUGGAAGCCCAUGAGAAGUGUACGUGGACUCUUUUUCUCCACUUGGAUAUCUUUAUAGUGUACAUUUUCUCAAUCGUGUUCAGACAUUUUCAGAACUUGACAAUCCCAGAGGCAUUUACCCAGAUGAGAAAAUUCAGGCUCAGAGAAGAUAAAUCAACACAGCUGGAAAGUGGCAGAAACAGGAUUUGCACAGCUUCAAAGUCCUCCAUGAGUUCUUUCAAGGAGGCUGA